rnacentral:rRNA from 1 species
UACGGAGGGUGCAAGCGUUGCUCGGAAUCACUGGGCGUAAAGGGCGUGUAGGCGGUCUCGUAUGUCUGACGUGAAAGCCCCGGGCUCAACCCGGGAAGUGCGUUGGAAACUGCGAGACUAGAGUCUCGGAGAGGAAGGUGGAAUUCCAGGUGUAGCGGUGAAAUGCGUAGAUAUCUGGAAGAACACCGGUGGCGAAGGCGGCCUUCUGGACGAUGACUGACGCUGAGACGCGAAAGCGUGGGGAGCGAACAGG